rnacentral:rRNA from 1 species
GAUGAACGCUAGCGGCAGGCCUAAUACAUGCAAGUCGAACGGUGUCUUCGGACAUAGUGGCGCACGGGUGCGUAACACGUAUGCAACCUACCUUACAUUGGGGGAUAGCCUUUCGAAAGGGAGAUUAAUACCGCAUAAGACAGUAGCUGGGCAUCCAGCAGCUGUUAAAGAUUUAUCGAUGUAAGCUGGGCAUGCGUCCAAUUAGCUAGUUGGUGAGGUAACGGCUCACCAAGGCAAUGAUUGGUAGGGGAACUGAGAGGUCAACCCCCCACACUGGCACUGAGAUACGGGCCAGACUCCUACGGGAGGCAGCAGUAGGGAAUAUUGGGCAAUGGACGCAAGUCUGACCCAGCCAUGCCGCGUGCAGGAUGAAGGCGUUAUGCGUUGUAAACUGCUUUUAUACAGGAAGAGACGACUCUUGCGAGAGGCAUUGACGGUACUGUAUGAAUAAGCACCGGCUAACUCCGUGCCAGCCGCCGCGGUAAAAC